GGGCGCGUAGCUCAAUUGGGAGAGCAGUGGACUCUUAAUCCAUCGGUUGCAGGUUCGAGUCCUGCCGCGCUCA
rnacentral:tRNA from 1 species